rnacentral:lncRNA from 1 species
AGAAAAUAAGAGAGUAUUAUAGGAUUAAUUUAGAAGUGCAAGGCGAAGAACCAUAUACAGGAUGAAGAUUUAUCCUCAGCCCUAUACUAUCCUAACAUAUUUACACAUUUAGGACCUCAAAGAUAGUCUUUUUGUACCAAAAUGCAAAUAAAAGGCCAUCAAAGUCAACAUGGACAAAGGUGUUGAUUUACCAUCCUCCUGUUCGUACCCGUUAUUCUAUAAACCUACUGCAGAAACCAUCAUAAUGAACAGCGAAACCUCUCACAGUCAUCCGCGCCAAUCUUCGUGAAGUUUGAAAUGAGACCGGUUAUCAUUCUCCUUAUAGUAGCCGCAAACUGUGAUGAGGUGCUCUAUUUGUAACAAUCCUGGAUCUUUCCCUAAUUCCCUUGACCACUGAACCAACUACUGCACCCUCCAUGUAUGGUCUACAUGCCGAAAGAAUAUCAUGCGCACGAGAAAGGAAAUGACCUAUCACGAAAUCCUCGAAGUGCUGCAAUCAUAUAACCAUUUGACAAAAAAACCUCGCAAAUAAAAAUCUCGAACAUAUUGUUUGAAAUUUUGAAUAAAAAUAAAAAAUCAAAUUAGCACAUUAGCGAGUCGGAAGAGAUUCGAAAAAUAAAACCUCACAAAUAAAAAUCUUGUUAUAGUUGGGGGGAACAUAUUGUUUGAAAUUUUGAAUAAAAAUAAAAAAUCAAAUUAGCACAUUAGCGAGUCGGAAGAGAGAGAGAGAGAGAGAGCCUGCAGUUGAAAUGGAUAUAGGGAUCCAAUAAAUCUAGCAAUGAUCCAAACGGAGUGGUAAAAAAGGAUUCAUGUAGCCAAUUCCAAAUUUAUUGGGAGCUAGGCUUCAAGGCCAAACAGCACUUUUCCAAAUCCUUAAUUUCAACUUGAGAAAUAUUCUUCUAAUAUAACCUGAUGAUCAGAUUUGAAGACAUUCUGAGGUUUUGCCAACAUCUUAGACGGGAGAUCAACCAAGCACCUACUAAUGGGUUAAGAUUCAAGUGAGCUUUUAGGUUUAGUAAUG